rnacentral:rRNA from 2 species
GCAGUCGAGCGGACAGAUGGGAGCUUGCUCCCUGAUGUUAGCGGCGGACGGGUGAGUAACACGUGGGUAACCUGCCUGUAAGACUGGGAUAACUCCGGGAAACCGGGGCUAAUACCGGAUGCUUGUUUGAACCGCAUGGUUCAAACAUAAAAGGUGGCUUCGGCUACCACUUACAGAUGGACCCGCGGCGCAUUAGCUAGUUGGUGAGGUAACGGCUCACCAAGGCAACGAUGCGUAGCCGACCUGAGAGGGUGAUCGGCCACACUGGGACUGAGACACGGCCCAGACUCCUACGGGAGGCAGCAGUAGGGAAUCUUCCGCAAUGGACGAAAGUCUGACGGAGCAACGCCGCGUGAGUGAUGAAGGUUUUCGGAUCGUAAAGCUCUGUUGUUAGGGAAGAACAAGUACCGUUCGAAUAGGGCGGUACCUUGACGGUACCUAACCAGAAAGCCACGGCUAACUACGUGCCAGCAGCCGCGGUAAUACGUAGGUGGCAAGCGUUGUCCGGAAUUAUUGGGCGUAAAGGGCUCGCAGGCGGUUCCUUAAGUCUGAUGUGAAAGCCCCCGGCUCAACCGGGGAGGGUCAUUGGAAACUGGGGAACUUGAGUGCAGAAGAGGAGAGUGGAAUUCCACGUGUAGCGGUGAAAUGCGUAGAGAUGUGGAGGAACACCAGUGGCGAAGGCGACUCUCUGGUCUGUAACUGACGCUGAGGAGCGAAAGCGUGGGGGAGCGAACAGGAUUAGAUACCCUGGUAGUCCACGCCGUAAACGAUGAGUGCUAAGUGUUAGGGGGUUUCCGCCCCUUAGUGCUGCAGCUAAC